GACGAGUCUGCGGCCCAUCAGCUAGUUGGUGAGGUAACGGCUUACCAAGGCGAAGACGGGUAGCUGGUCUGAGAGGAUGAUCAGCCACACUGGCACUGGAACACGGGCCAGACUCCUACGGGAGGCAGCAGUGGGGAAUAUUGGACAAUGGGGGCAACCCUGAUCCAGCCACGCCGCGUGAGUGAUGAAGGGCCUCGGGUCGUAAAGCUCUGUGGUGAGAGACGAAUUCCUGUCAGUUAAUACCUGGCAGAUUGACGGUAUCUCUUUAGAAAGCACCGGCUAAC
rnacentral:rRNA from 1 species